UACGUAGGGUCCGAGCGUUGUCCGGAAUUAUUGGGCGUAAAGGGCUCGUAGGCGGUUCGUCACGUCGGGAGUGAAAACUCGGGGCUUAACCCCGAGCCUGCUUCCGAUACGGGCAGACUAGAGGUAGGCAGGGGAGAGCGGAACUCCUGGUGUAGCGGUGGAAUGCGCAGAUAUCAGGAAGAACACCAAUGGCGAAAGCAGCUCUCUGGGACGGUACUGACGCUGAGACGCGAAAGCGUGGGGAGCGAACAGG
rnacentral:rRNA from 1 species